rnacentral:ncRNA from 1 species
GUUUCAGGGCGGGGUGAAAUUCCUCACCGGCGGUAAUGUGUCGCAUAUGCGAUAUUAGUCCGCGACCGAAACGGCUGAUAAAGAGUCGUUUCGCUGAUUUCGGUGCGAUUCCGAAACCGACGGUCAAAGUCCGGAUGAAAGAAAC